rnacentral:rRNA from 1 species
AUACGUAGGGGGCGAGCGUUGUCCGGAAUGAUUGGGCGUAAAGGGCGCGUAGGCGGCCCGGUAAGUCUGGAGUGAAAGUCCUGCUUUUAAGGUGGGAAUUGCUUUGGAUACUGUCGGGCUUGAGUGCAGGAGAGGUAAGUGGAAUUCCCAGUGUAGCGGUGAAAUGCGUAGAGAUUGGGAGGAACACCAGUGGCGAAGGCGACUUACAGGACUGUAACUGACGCUGAGGCGCGAAAGUGUGGGGAGCAAACAGGAUUAGAUACCCUGGUAGUCCACGCUGUAAACGAUGAAUGCUAGGUGUAGGGGGUAUCGACCCCUUCUGUGCCGCAGUUAACACAAUAAGCAUUCCGCCUGGGGAGUACGGCCGCAAGGUUGAAACUCAAAUGAAUUGACGGGG